ACAACCUAGCGCGAUGUAAAUAAACCUUACGCACAGCGCUAGCGAUCCCUUUGUUUCGUUGGUGGAUUUAAAUACCCCGCAAAAGAUAUAAAAAUUGAUUGGUUUAUUAAAAUGAAUAUGCAACAGAUUACCAAAUAAGGCUUUACAAACCAUCAAUGAAGUCGGUUCGCGUACGAAUUGACCCGCGUACGAGUUGGUCGCGUACGAGUUGGUUCGCGUACGAGUUGACCUGUAUUCAGUUAUCUAGGUUCACGUUGAUAUGGACGAAAGGUUUGGGUCGACAUGCUUUCGUGAGAUUUUAGCCAAUAUUGAGGGUGAAUAAAACAGGAAUUCGUCAAGUCGCAACGUACGAAGUGUACAUGCAGUGUCAUGGCGUGACGAGUAGGGACCUUCGUCGCCAUGUUUUGGCAUGAUUUCGGAGAUUCAGACGGAAAUCUCAAAGACCUAUUGGUUGUCUCUCGGACGCUGUGGAGGAGGUUUGCCUACAGUUCUUCUUAUGCGGAGUGUACGGCAUUCCACCAUGACACGCAGAUGACGUACCCUGCCCUGACGAAGGAUACCUUCAGAAAAUUUGACAAUUUUCAUCGGUUUUGAAGAGUUUCCUCCUAUUUCUGGAUUGAAGAUGG